rnacentral:rRNA from 1 species
UACAGAGGGUCCAAGCGUUGUUCGGAUUCAUUGGGCGUAAAGGGUGCGUAGGCGGCGCGGUAAGUCGGGUGUGAAAUCUCGGGGCUUAACUCCGAAACUGCAUUCGAUACUGCCGUGCUUGAGGACUGGAGAGGAGACUGGAAUUUACGGUGUAGCGGUGAAAUGCGUAGAUAUCGUAAGGAAGACCAGUGGCGAAGGCGGGUCUCUGGACAGUUCCUGACGCUGAGGCACGAAGGCCAGGGGAGCAAACGGG